AUGAACGCUAGCGACAGGCUUAACACAUGCAAGUCGAGGGGCAUCACGGGAGUAGCAAUACAACUGGUGGCGACCGGCGCACGGGUGAGUAACGCGUAUGCAACCUACCUAUCAGAGGGGAAUAACCCGGCGAAAGUCGGACUAAUACCGCAUAAAACAGGGGCACCGCAUGGUGAUAUUUGUUAAAGAAAUUCGCUGAUAGAUGGGCAUGCGUUCCAUUAGGUAGUUGGUGAGGUAACGGCUCACCAAGCCGACGAUGGAUAGGGGAACUGAGAGGUUGGUCCCCCACACUGGUACUGAGACACGGACCAGACUCCUACGGGAGGCAGCAGUGAGGAAUAUUGGUCAAUGGGCGGGAGCCUGAACCAGCCAAGUCGCGUGAAGGGAAAAGAAGGAUCUAUGGUUCGUAAACUUCUUUUGCAGGGGAAUAAAGUGCAGGACGUGUCCUGUUUUGUAUGUACCCUGAGAAUAAGGAUCGGCUAACUCCGUGCCAGCAGCUGC
rnacentral:rRNA from 1 species